rnacentral:lncRNA from 1 species
GUGUGAUUAAAAGAAGGGGGAUGGAGGGGAGCGGUGCUCCCCAUCCAGCCUCUGUGGAUUUAUGUGUAUGUGGUGUAAUAGGCCGGAGGGUGUAAGUGAUAAUACACCCUCCGGGGGGUGGCAUGUUGAGAUGUGAUUAAAAUUGGAGGGAUUAGUAGGGCAACUAGGGUGGGAGUGCCGCCCCCACGCCACUACAUAGUAACACAGGUGGCGGCCCCCUCCACCCCCAGCCCCACCAUCCAGCCCCCCAAGGGUUGGGUAUGGGUGUGUGGUGCAUUUUGUGAGUGAGCCAGACCAGCUGGGAGUGUGGUGAAGUGAACAUGUAGGAGGCCUGUCCGGUGUGAGCCGGGCCCGUCCGCAUGGCGGGCCACGCGAGAGGGUAGAUGGCGCAGACGGGCAAGUGGCACUGUGGGCCCCGGAGCAGCACAGCCAGAGACCCCCCCCCCACGGCACCCCCCAGACCGCGCCGGCCCCGCGGAGCACGGCGACAACCCCCACCCCCGGGCACAGCCAGGCACCAACCCCAUCCCCCGGCGCCCCAGGGGGCGACCCCCGCCGCACGCCGGCCCGGAGCAACGCCACCCCGCCGCCAAGGGGAGCGGCCGAGCAGGGGGGAGGCCCGCGCCCGCACCAGGGCCAGCACAGGCCCACCCGGCGCCACGAUACAACACUCUCCACCGGGAGGCGGCCCCGGCCCCCCCGACUAGAGAGGACGCCAUCCACCGCCAAGCAGGGCCAUCCCGCCAGCCACGGACCGGCAAGCCGGAGUACCGAAGCACCCCCAGCCCGGAACCGCCCCCCCACACCAACGGCGCCAAUGGAGCCCCCCCCCCCCCCACGGAGGCGAUCCCCGACGACCCACGCACCGGCACGAGACACCCCCCCGACGCCAGCCCACCCCGGACGACAGCGGGCCCGAGGCCACCAGCCCCGCCCCGCCCAAGGCUGCGCAGCGCCGCCACGAGCCGCGGCCGGUCCCCGGGCAGAUGGCAGGAGAGCACUCCCC